GCCCGUCUGGCGAAAUUGGCAGACGCGCCAGCCUCAGGAGCUGGUGUCCGAAAGGACGUCCGAGUUCGAGUCUCGGGAUGGGCA
rnacentral:tRNA from 1 species